GGCGGCAUGCUUUACACAUGCAAGUCGAACGGUAACAGGCUUCGGAUGCUGACGAGUGGCGAACGGGUGAGUAAUGUAUCGGAACGUGCCCAGUAGUGGGGGAUAACUACUCGAAAGAGUGGCUAAUACCGCAUGAGAACUGAGGUUGAAAGUGGGGGAUCUUCGGACCUCACGCUAUCAGAUGAGCCUAGGUCGGAUUAGCUAGUUGGUGAGGUAAAGGCUCACCAAGGCGACGAUCCGUAACUGGGUCUGAGAGGAUGAUCAGUCACACUGGAACUGAGACACGGUCCAGACUCCUACGGGAGGCAGCAGUGGGGAAUAUUGGACAAUGGGCGCAAGCCUGAUCCAGCCAUGCCGCGUGUGUGAAGAAGGCCUUCGGGUUGUAAAGCUCUUUCGCAAGGGAAGAAAACUUAGGCUCUAACAUAGCCUGAGGUUGACGGUACCUUGAUAAGAAGCACCGGCUAACUACGUG
rnacentral:rRNA from 1 species